UACAGAGGGGGCAAGCGUUGUUCGGAAUUACUGGGCGUAAAGGGCGCGUAGGCGGCCCGCUAAGUCGAACGUGAAAUCCCCAGGCUCAACCUGGGAACUGCGUCCGAUACUGGCAGGCUUGAAUCCGGGAGAGGGAUGUGGAAUUCCAGGUGUAGCGGUGAAAUGCGUAGAUAUCUGGAGGAACACCGGUGGCGAAGGCGGCAUACUGGACCAACACUGACGCUGAGGAGCGAAAGCCAGGGGAGCAAACGGG
rnacentral:rRNA from 1 species